AAACAACCGAUACGUUUCGACCUCAGAUCAGGAUUUAAGCAUAUUAAUAAGCGGAAGAAAAGAAAACAACCGUGAUUCCCUUAGUAGCGGUGAGCGAACCGGGAAAAGCCCAUCGCCGAAUCUCGCCGCGCACUUUUGUGUCGCGGUACGUAUGAGAGUUGUGGCGUACGGGCCGGCCUCGUUGCCGGGGCGCACGUGACGGUCCAAGUCUCCCUUGAACGGGGCCAUGGCCCGCAGAUGGUGCCAGGUCAGUAGAGGCCGUCACGGGAUCGGACCGCGCCUUCGAGUCGGGUUGAUUGAGAGUGCAGCCCGAAGCUGGUGGUAAUCUCCAUCUAAGGCUAAAUACGGCCACGAGACCGAUAGUUUACAAGUACCGUGAGAGAAAGUUGAAAAGAACUUUGAAGAGAGAGUUCAUAAGAACGUGAAACCGCUCGGUUGUAAACGGACAGAGCUCGCGAAUCCCCGCCGGCCGAAUGGCCCGGGUGACGUUCGUCACGGCGGUCGCGUUUCGGCGUGACCGCUCACGCCGAGCUCGGGAGCUCAUGGUCGGCUCGCCCGACGGCAAGAACCGUCGACGCGGCCGCGUCGCAGGCGUAUCGCGACCCGUACAGCCGGGAAAGCACGGUCACUCCUUAGCGCCCACCCAGCCUAUCGUUGGGGCUAUAUGCAGCGAAGGUUGUCCGUGACCAUAAACGGAAAGCAAAGUGCAUAGAUUUCGGCCCCACCAAGGUGGCAAAAGGCACCUGUAUGCCCUAGGCGGAUGGUACGGGCCCGCCAGAGAAGCCCUCCAUGCGGGUCCGGUGCUCGUGGUCCUUAGACGACGUGCGGCCGUCAGAACCCGGCGGUCCUCUGGCCAUGCACCGCGUGGGGAGGGCCCGUUGGUUGACGGUCGUAUGCCUCUAGGGCCCUUGACUAGUACCCCGUGCUAAUAUAAGGUCCGUAAUUGUAGUCGGAAGACCGCAAGGCCGCGCUGAGGACACCAAACCCGGGAGCUUCGUGUAUCUUGUCGCCCGGGGUCGACGAAAGCCCACGUUGUCGUGGUGACCCCGCCCGAGCUUACUCGCUAAGAGGCUUUCACCGACGUCCGGGAACAGGCAAACUCCGGACCUCUAACCCC
rnacentral:ncRNA from 1 species